UGGUGACUAUAGCAAGGAGGUCACACCUGUUCCCAUGCCGAACACAGAAGUUAAGCUCCUUAGCGUCGAUGGUAGUCGAACUUACUAGGAAAUUUGAGAGGAGCUGUCCU
rnacentral:rRNA from 1 species